GAUGAAGAACGUAGCGAAGUGCGAUAAGUAGUGUGAAUCGCAGAAUUCCGUGAAUCAUCGAAUCUUUGAACGCAAAUUGCACUCUCCGGUAUUCCGGAGAGUAUGCCUGUUUGAGGGUCGGUAAAAUGUUAAAUCGUUGUGUCGCUUGUUUGCGACGUGGCGGAAUUGGGUCUUCUUAGCCUUUAUGGGUUCAAGUGACCUAAAAUUCAUUUCAAAAUUAUCCUUCGGUAUGAUUGCGUACAUUAGUAAUUUUGUCGUUUGAGUAUUGAAGGUUCUAUUAGGCGUGACCAUUUUGUUGGAAUCGAGCCUAUAAUAUUUCGAGUUACGACCUCAAAUCAGGUAGGAGGACCCGCUGAACUUAAGCAUAUCAAUAAGCGGAGGA
rnacentral:misc_RNA from 1 species